rnacentral:rRNA from 1 species
GGCGGACGGGUGAGUAAUAUAUAGGUAAUGUGCCUUGAAGAAGGGGAUAACAGUUGGAAACGACUGCUAAGACCCUAUAUGCCUUUAAAACAAAAGUUUGCAAGGGAAAUAUUUAUAGCUUCAAGAUCGGCCUGUACAGUAUCAGUUAGUUGGUGAGGUAAUGGCUCACCAAGACAAUGACGCUUAACUGGUUUGAGAGGAUGAUCAGUCACACUGGAACUGAGACACGGUCCAGACUCCUACGGGAGGCAGCAGUGGGGAAUAUUGCACAAUGGGGGAAACCCUGAUGCAGCAACGCCGCGUGGAGGAUGACACAUUUCGGUGCGUAAACUCCUUUUAUAUAGGAAGAUAAUGACGGUACUAUAUGAAUAAGCGCCGGCUAACUCCGUGCCAGCAGCCGCGGUAAUACGGAGGGCGCAAGCGUUACUCGGAAUCACUGGGCGUAAAGAGCGUGUAGGCGGAUAGAUAAGUUGGGAGUGAAAUCCUAUGGCUCAACCAUAGAACUGCUUCCAAAACUGUCUAUCUAGAGUAUGGGAGAGGUAGAUGGAAUUUCUGGUGUAGGGGUAAAAUCCGUAGAGAUCAGAAGGAAUACCGAUUGCGAAGGCGAUCUACUGGAACAUUACUGACGCUGAGACGCGAAAGCGUGGGGAGCAAACAGGAUUAGAUACCCUGGUAGUCCACGCCCUAAACGAUGUACACUAGUUGUUGUGAGGCUAGACCUUGCAGUAAUGCAGUUAACACAUUAAGUG